rnacentral:lncRNA from 1 species
UCACCGGCUGGGUGGGCUGCGCGCCCAGCAGAUCCCGAGGGGCUGCUGUGAUCUACUGGGAGAUCCCUGCACUACGGCCAGGCUGCUGCUGCCUGUCUCUGUCGAGAUCUGUGCGAUAUCCACGCGUAGAGGUACCUAUGGCACUGGUAGAGGUACCUAUGGCACUGGUAGAGGUACCUAUGGCACUGGUAGAGGUACCUAUAGGACUGGUAGCGGUACCUAUAGGACUGGUAGCGGUACCUGAGGCACUGGUAGCGGUACCUAUAGCACUGGUAGCGGUACCCGUGGCAUCAGUAGAGGUACCUAUAGCAUCGAUAGAGGUACCCGAGGCACCGGUAGAGGUACCUAUAGCACUGAUAGGGGUAUCCAUGAUGUUGAUAGAGGUACCUGAGGCACUGGUAGAGGUACCUAUAGCACCGGUAGCGGUACCUAUAGCACCAGUAGAGGUACCCGAGGCGCUGGUAGAGGUACCUAUAGCACCGGUAGCGGUACCUAUAGCACCAGUAGAGGUACCCGAGGCGCCGGUAGAGGCACCUCCCUCCUCCUCCUCCUCCUCUUCAUCCCGCUGACCCCUCUCCGUCCCGCAGGCGCUCCCGCACCGUCAGCCGUCGCCGUCCGCUCGCGCCGGACGCCAGCCCCGGACCCCAGGCCC